rnacentral:tRNA from 1 species
AGGAUUAUAGUUUAAUUAAAACAUUUGAUUUGCAUUCAAAAAAUAUUAUAAAUUUUAUAAUUUAUCUUA